ACCAGCGAACGACGAAGAUUCGACCCACUUACAACCGUAAAUGGUGAUAGACGUGAUUGAGGCACGCGGACCUGUAGACUGAAAUCGGGCCUGACAGUUGAGUUCGACUUAAGUUCUCGGGUCCUGAACCGCCAGUGAUGACCCGUCGAUCGGGCUGACAAACCGAUCGAGUACUAAACAUUCCAUCUUGUGAUGAGGUACAUCCGAACAUCCCAUUCCAAAUAGACGACCAAUGAUUAUUUCAUGACCAAUGUUGAAAUUAAAGGCGGCAAGGUGGUAAGGCUACAACCUGGGGUGGGUCAUCCAGGAACUGUGAGCCUUUGCACCCGCGAUUUCACGUUACUGCCAGCUGUAAUCGGCGACGAAGAGCAAUCGACGAAUCUAGGUGAAGCAUGGGGGUAAUUACACGCUUCAAGGAAACAGGACAUAUAUUGUGGACGUCGGCUAUUAUUAAAAAGAAGUUGCUAGAUAGACGCCGAGAAGGACUACGUCUGAGCUGUGAGUUUGGACGAAUUUCUUCUUCUUCUUAUGUAAAUAUUGGACGAAAUAAGGGUUAGCGCUGAAGACAGCAUAUUUGAUGAUUAAGGUAGAAAAACAUAUGUGCAGACGCUGACUCCAACUAUGAUUGCCAUGAUGAUGACGAUGCUUAACGGUAAUUAUUACAUCCGAAGCUCGUCUAUCGAUGAAGUUGAUUGUCAAUUUGUUACGGUUAGUUCCGGCUAAGCUAUAAGCGAAAUGCUCAUUUGUAACCGACCUAUAUUGUGCAAGCACGUCAGGCUGACGGUAGAUCAAGAUCGCUUUGAUAAAGCUGAACGGUGGUACAUCAUUUUCGACUAUCUUUGAUUGGCAAAAAGACUGACUAGACACGUGCACAGACACGCAUGCCUCUCCCACGGACAUGUUCUCUUAUUCACUUCUAAAUGUAAAUUGCUUACGCAGCGAAGUCUAAACGUGAACGAACGAAUGAAUGACUGAAAAGCAUUGAACACGGAUUUAUCUCGCUCUUUUUGUAAUGAAAUUGAAUCUGCUAGAGCGUCUUGAAGAUUUGUAGGCGCUCACACGAUAUGCGAGUGUAGAUUCGAGUGUGAUAUUAGAUAGAAGUACAUACUAACAUGUGGCUCCGUUGAAGCUUAUUACCCGCUAGCGGUUUCAAGGAUAGAGAGCUAUUUGUCUGUUUCCUGCUACCUCGAAGUACUGUUCCAACGAAGCUUUGUCUAUCUCUGUGCUGCCGUUGUCGUCAGUUCGUGAUUGCAUUCAUUACUACGGAGUGACCUUCGGUAAGAAACCAGUUUUGUUGCGGCUCGUAGCCUCGCUCGAGAGAAUGAACGACAUAGACGAGAUCAUGGGGGAGAGCGUUUAGCGGUUGUGAAUACUAAUUAAUAAUAAGUAAAUAAUAAUUGUAUUAAAUGAACGAAUGCGCUUGUCAAUUGAGUUCGUCACCUGUUUUUUUUUUCCAAUAAUAACUGGUUAUGAAUGGGCAGAGUACUCGCAAAUACAAUGAAACACACUAAUUAAUACAUACAAAUAAAAGAGCUCCCCGUGUUUACCCACCGGGCAUUUAGAUAGAACUGCUUUAUUGUUGAAAGUUUAUUGCGCAUUUUUAUAAGAAAUAAAGAAAAUGCUUUUCUGACAAAGUA